UCCUUUUCUGGAAUUUCACGCUUAGUCGUCUCUUUUCUCUUUAUAUGAAUGAUAUUAGAGUAUUAGUUGCAGAAUUUAUGAAAGGAAGCCAUGGCAGUCCGUAAGUUCCUCCUCCUCCUCCUUCUUGGGGUCUUCGUUUUCCUCUGCCUUUCACAGGUAUCUUCCAAUGGCUACGAAGAAGAAGGGAUGAAGGAGAUGGAAUAUGAUGAAAAAAUGAUGAGAGGGGCAAACAGAAGGCUAAUGCAAUACAUAGAUUGUGGAGGGCAAUGCAGGCGUCGUUGCGGGGCGCACUCGAGGCCAAACCGAUGCAUAAGAGCGUGCGGGACAUGCUGCCGGCGCUGCAGAUGUGUGCCGCCGGGUACGUCAGGUAAUCGCGAGAUGUGUGGCACUUGCUACACGAGCAUGACCACUCAUGGGAACAGAACCAAGUGCCCUUAAUUAGCUAUACCCAAAUGCAUCAUCAACUAAACUACUACGUUUUUCGAUCUUUUGAGUUAAUUUUUCGUUUCCUUCUUCUUUGAUGUAUGUUUCGAAUUGGUUGCAAAAAUUUUCUUUAUUGUUUUGUAUUUCCAUGUUUAUGCUUCCAUUUACGUGCUUAGUUUUUUAAAUUACAUCUUGAUCAGUACAUCAUAUAUUUCUGAUUAAUUAGGUGAAAUUACUAAUUGGGUCUUUAGUUUGAGAA